GGGUUGUGAGGUUAAGCGACUAAGCGUACACGGUGGAUGCCCUGGCAGUCAGAGGCGAUGAAGGACGUGCUAAUCUGCGAUAAGCGUCGGUAAGGUGAUAUGAACCGUUAUAACCGGCGAUUUCCGAAUGGGGAAACCCAGUGUGAUUCGUCACACUAUCAUUAACUGAAUCCAUAGGUUAAUGAGGCGAACCGGGGGAACUGAAACAUCUAAGUACCCCGAGGAAAAGAAAUCAACCGAGAUUCCCCCAGUAGCGGCGAGCGAACGGGGAGCAGUCCAGAGCCUGAAUCAGUGUGUGUGUUAGUGGAAGCGUCUGGAAAGGCGCGCGAUACAGGGUGACAGCCCCGUACACAAAAAU
rnacentral:rRNA from 1 species